UAGGGGGAAACCUAGACUCACCCAGGAGUAAAGAUCAACUUUAGAAAUGAGUCAGAGAAGUUGUUUGGAAGUGAAGGGACUCAGACAUCAGGACACGUGACAGUCCCAGGAAAGACAGGUCAUCAGGUUGGCAGAUCUGAGCCCCUGGGCCUGGAAAGCAAACCUAGUUGAUUUCUCCUAGGGCCUAAACACAUGUUUGCAAGCUUUCUGCCUGGAGCUACCUCCCUCCCAGCCCUGGAAUCCGGAGUCUUCAUCUUGUAGAUCUGAUGAAACUAAGGCAGAUCCAGAAACCAUGGCCCAUUCAAGGUCAGCUGGAAAUUUCGGAUGUCUGUGAAUAGACACAAGCCUCACCCUACCCUCUUGGAAACAGCAGAAAAACGGGGCUCAGUGAAUAUAAGGACAGACCCCCAAACAAUACACCUUCUGCCUUGUGGUGGUCAAGAUGUGUCUUGGCAAGUGGUAUUCUUGAGGGAAAGCUGGGUCAGCCUGUACCCUGAAAUUCUGGAACUUCCUCCCCUUUCCCACUAUUUUCU
rnacentral:lncRNA from 1 species